rnacentral:lncRNA from 1 species
CUCUCUGUGUGGCAGGAUAUCUGCCAGUGAAUGAGUCUGUUGAAAUCACCACACCAAAUUCAACAUUAAGGGCCAACCCUGACCACAGCUGAGCCGUGUGAAGAGGCUGACAGCGGCGUGGCCACCACCCAGGAUGGAGAGAAAGGCACUGUGAGGUGUUAAUGGAAAAAUCCAACUUCCUUUUCUUCCAAAGAUGAUGACUGAAACCAAAGUGGAGCUUUCCCUUGUGAAGUGAAAGCAAAGUUUUAAAAUUUUUUCUCCUCUGCAAGAAAAUAUAUUUCAGAAAAUCUCUAUCUCAAAAAUGAAGCAAUUAAGAACUGUCUGGCUGUGAGGAUCUGGCCUCAACUUGACUUAAAGCAACAACUUCAGUUACAUAUCAAGAUGUGCGUGAGAAUGAACCUGCUCUGCUCAGCCAACGUGCUGAGUGACUUGAUGUUUGUAAUAAAUAAAUAAAUAAACAACAAACAGGUUGUCAUGAAAUAUCCUUUGUAAUUAUAAACACAGGAAACUUUCUGAGAUGCAAGUGGGUGUUAAAUGGUUCAGCAAAGCCAAGCCAGAGCAGUUGGUGUGCUUUGAAAUGAAGCAACAUUGGAAAAAUGAAAUCUACUGAAAGAUCACUACGUGUUUCAAAGGCCUUCAGACUCAGACUGGAACUGCACCGUUGGCUCUCCUGGGUGGGUCUCCAGCUUGCUGACCACAGACCUUGAGACUUCUCAGCCUUUAGAAUCAUGGAAGCCAAUUCCUUAUAAUAAUAUAUAUCCUUUUCCUAGUCUGUGGACUUUUCCCAGCUCCAGACAGACAACCUUCUAUAAACUCCAGGAUGCUCCAUCAAUGCCGUCUGGACUCUACAGAUUUUGACCCUGAAGUAAAGUAGGAAAGGCUAUGAGGACAUGUUAAAUGUUGUACUACCGCCUGAAGCCUUUUCUUCUUUAAAUUUUUCAACAAGAGUUGAAUGCACACGUGGAGCUUAAUUGGACAACAACUUUUCUCCUCUUCUGUGGGAUCCCGUCAGUGCUUUAAGCAAUGAGAAGGCAGCUCAUUUCCAAGUUUGUGUGGUAAAUUUGGGGCAAGUGGGAGAAAAGAAAGAAAGGCUGAGUCUUAUAGGGUGUGAUUUGGUUCUAGACAUGCUUAUGUUACUUUUUAUAAGAUUAUCCAUUUGACUAGAUUUCUUUCCUGCUGACAAAAGAGGCAAUUUCUACAUAUAAAAUAAAUCUGAUUAAAACUC